rnacentral:rRNA from 1 species
UACGAGUGCUCCAAGCGUUAUCCGGAAUUAUUGGGCGUAAAGGGUGUGUAGGUGGUAGUGUUAGUCUUCUGUUAAAUUCUUCGGCUUAACCGGGGGCAUGCAGGGGAAACGGCACAACUAGAGGAUGCGAGAGGUAUGUGGAACUCAUGGUGUAGGGGUGAAAUCCGUUGAUAUCAUGGGGAACACCAAAUGCGAAGGCAGCAUACUGGCGUAUUCCUGACACUGAGACACGAAAGCGUGGGUAGCGAAUGGG